rnacentral:sRNA from 1 species
ACAACAGUCACAGCAUCUUGAAGUGCAGGCAAAGAUCCAAACUCUAGGGGUGAAACCCCUUUCCAGAAUUCAUCAUCCUCUACAUGUGGGCUAUACAUACCAAUGUCACACUCGGUGCCAAUAGCGAGAACGGUGGCAAGGUAUUUGGUAUCCGAUCCCCUCUUCUUAAGCUUGACCUGGGUGUAGUGCUCGACGGAGUGAGCGUUGGUAAGCAC